UACGUAGGGUGCAAGCGUUGUCCGGAAUUAUUGGGCGUAAAGAGCUCGUAGGCGGUCUGUCGCGUCUGCUGUGAAAACUCGGGGCUUAACCCCGGGCCUGCAGUGGGUACGGGCAGACUAGAGUGCGGUAGGGGAGACUGGAAUUCCUGGUGUAGCGGUGAAAUGCGUAGAUAUCAGGAGGAACACCUGUGGCGAAAGCGGCUCACUGGACCAUAACUGACGCUGAUGCACGAAAGCUAGGGGAGCAAACAGG
rnacentral:rRNA from 1 species